GAGUUAAGUCUUGAGGAGGCUGAAGAUGUCUCUUUCAAAGAGUCUUGGCUGACAUACUUUUGGAGAAGAGCAAAAGUUCAUGGUGUAGAAGAGGAUAUAGCUGAAGAUAGGCUUCACUUUUGGAUUAGUCGCAGUGCAACUUCUCCCACUUCUCAUGAUGCCGUUGAUGUUGAAAGAGGGUUAACGGAGCUGAGGAAGUUAGGAAUAGAACAACAGAUCUGGGAAGCUUCUCGCAGGGAAAUAGACCAAUCAUCAUCUUUACCAGUUCAAUAUUCAGGAGAAGAAGAAGACACCACUUUGUAAUUCAUUUUUAUUUCGUUUAAUUUCUUAUUCCAAAAAAAAGUUAAAAAAGAAAAUGAAAAUUUUGAUGUUUGAGUGUUGAUAAAACGAAAACUAUGAGAGUUUGUUCAAAGUUUUACAACAGUGCAGAUGCCUCGUAGAAUUGGUAGCCCUUUGGCUGAACAUAUUGAACUUGGAGCUCAAUGUUUUACAACAAUGCAGACGCCAUCUGGCAAUUUUCUUGUUUCAUGUGGCAAUUGGGAAAACAGCUUUCAGCUCAUUUCCCUUAAUGAUGGAAGAUUGGUGCAGAGUGUCCGACAACAUAAAGAUGAUUGGU